AACUGUGUGUUGAUUUGAAUUCAAGCCCCUUGGACUGGAUUAAGGAUUACAAAAAUCAGGUUUCUUUAUGCAAGAAUGCAGACAGUGCUACAUCUCUAAGUCUUCAUCAAGAGCUUGGGUGCAUUGGAGAAAGUGAUAAUACACAAAUAAAAGGUUCCUUUCCUCACAGUGUCAAUCCUGGUGAAAUCGAGGAUGGCCGUGUACAAGCUGAAACUUCUCUGAG
rnacentral:misc_RNA from 1 species